UUCUGAUGUGAGCUUCCUACUGCUUAUUCCAGCAUCUCAAUUUGAAACAAAAUCCACAAUAAAAUCAGAUUACAAGUAUGAACCAAAAUACAGAAAUUCCGCAAACAAGGAAGCCACAGAAGCUGCCAGAAAUGGAAACAGAAAUGCAACAUCCUAAGCCCAUAAUCAUUACAGUUGAUUCACCUUCAUCUCCUAUUACACCAACUUCUGCACCAAAGGAAAUUGGGACACCUGCUAUGUCUGUUUCGCCAACAAACUUUCAAGCAAGCAAUGAUCAAUGUGAGACGACUGAGGUCCAAGACAAGGAUCUUGACUUUGAUGCACCAGUGGUAUUAGCUUCUACCUUGCCUUCUGAUUCCAGUGGCCAAGUAAAUAACCAACUUCCGCAUUCUGCAAAGCCGCCUCUUGAGCGCUUAAUUCAAGCAGUGCAGCGUAUUUCUAAGGAAGCUCUGAGGAGUUCCAUGGAUGACAUUGCCUCGGCCAUGAGUGCUGUGAAUAACUUGCCCGCGUAUGCAAUUGAUGUUGAUUCACCAGCAGUAUAUUGUAGUACUGGUGAUGGAUACACAUCCUGUAAAAAAAUGAAACGUGACAUAAAUUCAGUGAGAGGGGUUGUGUCAGCCUUGGAUAAUUAUGGUUCCUGCAGAAAAAAGUUGAGAAAGGAGGUAUAAUACACUUUCCUGCAGCAUAGUUUAGCAUGAGCAAAUAGUAUGGUUUUUAGUCAUAGACAAGAUGUAUGUUCUUUACAGCAAAAUCAUCUUUGAACUAGAGUUUUGAGGCCUUAUAAAUGUCUGUAAGGUUCUUGGAAAGCGCGUGCUUAUGCUGUUUCAUAAUCUCUCAACUUUGUGCAGGUCAACAACGACUUAAUGGAUGAAAUCAGACAGAUAAACCAGAGACUUAUUGAGACAGUGCUAAAAGUAGAUUGUGAUUCUGAUUCUAGUAACGAUGAGACCAUCAUCAAAUGUACCUAUAAACCUGUGUAUUACAGUGAAAGUUUUAAGAGACAUUUUGGAUUUAUGGAAUCAAUCUUGACUCUUUCAAUCAAGAUUCUUGUUCCUUCUAACUACCCUAACACUCCACUUAAGAUCUUAGACAGGGUACCUGACGAAUGCUGGUGAGUGAAUACUUCCUCCGUUUUUAUUUUAAUGUCAUGCUUGAAAUGUGUAUCAUGACUAAUAAAUUAAAGUUGGGUUUCGAUGAAUUUAACUCAAAUUGGCUAUUCUGUUUCAGUAAAGAGACUAAAGACUUGUUGGAGAAGGCAAGAGCUAUAUUUGACAGGCGCCUUAAAGGUCUUGUGUCACUAGGACUAGGAGACAUGGCUCGAGCUUGGAAUGAUUGUGCUCGAUCGGUUAUUUCCGACUAUAUAGUUAGUCAUGGAGGAGAAACUUUCAGCUCUAAGUAUGGCACCUGGGAGUUUGUUUCACCAGAUUAAUGAAAUUCUAUGUAGGAAAACAAAAGUGAGGAAAUUCUGCUGCUAGUUGAGGGCCUUGAGGCUAUCAUAGGAUAUUACUGCCUUGUUUCUAUCUUGUGAAUAAUAUGCCAACAUAAAAAGUAAAUACUUGAUGUAAAUAUACACAUAAUAAGGUAGGUCUAUCACUUUGCUUCUAAAUAAAACUAGGACAUGCAUCAUGUAUUCAUGUAUACUCCUUACUUGACUUGUGACUAUAUGGUUGUUAAAAUUUGUCAAUGUGAUAUAAUAGUUUUAACAAAAGUAUAUGUUCCUUACUGUUAUUGUUUUGUUUGUAGUUUUAUA